ACGAUUCGCUCCCGUCGGAAAAAAGAAAGUAAAAACGAUUCGCUAGGUAUUGCCCCGACGACUAAAUCCCCUCUGCGCCGCCACGCGCGAGAGACACGCCCGCCGCCCGAACAUCCGAUUCAGCGCCUCCCGCCGGAGACUGCUCGCGACCGACGAGGGACACGCCGGCGAUAUCUCCGUCGUGGCUGCGCGUCGCCAGCGCCAUCUGAUGCAGCCCCGCGCCUAACCGCGUGCACGCCAUGGGCAGCGGCCAUGGAGGCCGCACCUCCGGCUGCUCGCUCGCCGCUGGCCAGCCAGUACCUCCGCCAACAUCUCAUCCAUCUUGAUCAGGGGCACGACCUACAACUCCAACAGUUUGGCCAAGGGCAUUACAACCACAUCCGCUGCCUUUGGGCACGACCACCAGUGCUUGCGUUCCUCCGAGGAAAGAAUUAUGAGCUCUCACAUAAAUGGCUGAAACGCCUACAGGUGUGUGGGUGUGUUUUAACUUUUGCUCAUUCUUUUGUUUUUAAACAGGUGAAUUUCUGUUGCUGGAGCGUUUUAGUGAAAAGGAAUUCGGUUCUGAAACUACUCUUGAAGUUUAUGACCUGAAAAACACAGGGGAAUUAUUUUCCUCUAUUUUGUGUUACGGUCCUGCUCUACAGCUACAGGUGUUUAUUUUUAUGCCUAAAAGAAAGUAUGUGCUUUCUAGAAUAAGCUCCAUAUAUAUAUACAUCAACGUAAAAUUGGAGCAUGUACAGUUUUAUUCUUGUGCUGAGUGUGCAUCAACAGAUCAAAACUAGAAAUAAAUAGGUGCUUAACCAUUCAUCAUUCUCCUUAAGCACAUUGUAAAAAUGUGAGAAGCAAACCUGAGAAAGGUUAGUGUACUGAAGGCGUAUGCAGUGCUUUCACAGAGGUGACAAAGAGCUACAAAAUGUACGAUGAAUUGUAAAAGGAAAACAAAAUUCUGCACUUGUCAUUUUCGCUAGUUGCUACUGUGUCUCACUAGUCUUCAGGUCUGCACCUACAGAAAGUUCUGAAGCGUCACUAGUGUUCAGUUCUGAAGCAGAUUCAGAAUGAUGGGAUACCAUCCUAAAUACAGUAGCAGCAUCCCAAAUCCAUUCCAAGUGAAAAUGGCCGGAAUUGGUUCUAUUUUUUUUGUAGCAGUGGAGCUCUAAAGAAGAGAUAAGGAAUAACAGUUCAUCUAAAACAGAGAAGAUAGACAAGAAACAGGGCUAUCACGUUUGGCUGGAUCUAAGAAGAUAUUCUGGUGUUGUUCCUCCUCCGCAGCUUCUCCUCCUGCGUGAUCCCCACCUCCUUGAUUUGAUCCCACUGACGAGCUAAGGUUUUCUCCAUCACCCCCUUCAGUACGCAAGCUCAUCUCUUCUCUUUCAUCUCCUUAAUUUCUUGGUCUUUUUACCCUUUCUUUACCCUGCUCCUCAAAAAUCUAGAACCCUAACCCUAAAAAUUAAGAAAUUCAUGGAGAAAAGGGAAUGGAAGAGGAAGAGGGUGGUGUUACCAACGAGAAGACCGCUGACGAUGGAGAGGGACGCCGGAAAAGGUCGUUGCCGCCGCCGAGCUCGCACCAAAUCGAUGCACAGCCCAGUUCGCCUCCUGGUCGCUACCGCAUGAAGAGGGAAAGGGGGGAUAAUCCACGCAGGAGAGAGAGGGGUAGCCCUUGCUUCAAGAUUGUCCCUCCGGCGUCAUCGACAUGGCUGCCGCCGCCUCCGCAAACCGCAAUCGCCAGUGAGGAGGGGCUGAGGAGAGCGGAACGUGAACCGCUCGCACCUGAUUAGAAAAGACAUGGGUACGGGUGGAGACGUAGAGUGGGCUAGCUCCAAAGGACCAGUCAACCGUCGCAUCAACGUAAGCAAGGUAAAUUUACGGCGAUAGACGUGGAAUAAUAUUUUUAUCGGUUGAGGAUUCGUUAAGCCACACUGUUGCUCGGUCGGAUGACUGGGGUGAAGAAUUACUUAUUCUUCACCCUGGGUCCUUAAUAGACUUUAUAUAUAUAUAUAUAUGCAUUUGUAAUUAGUGUGGCUAUCAUGGAAUGGAGGGAUAGAUGAUUUCUGUAUCUGCAUAUUAGUUACAAAACAUGAGUUUGUUGAGAUACAAAGUUCUAGCAUUUGGUUAAAAUCUGAUAUAAAUUUUGAAAUAGGUCCCAAAACUUUCUAAUCAGAUACGACUAGCGUCUAGCAUAUUGCUCUGUUUUGCUAGAUGAUGGUGCUCACAAAUAUUAGGCUAUUACAUUAGCCUAAGGAUAAACAAUAUUCAUGAAGCGCUUCUAUAUUGCCGGACAUGAGUGACCCUCCGAGAGCCAAAGCUGGUCAACCCUGCUCUGUAGCGAAGCACGGGAAUGGGUGCGAGGAUUGAGUUCUAAUUUGGUGGAAAGAGACCAACAGUGUUGAUGUUCAGAGGGCUGAUAUUCAUCUCUAGAGGCAAAUAAUCUCAGAUUUUUUAGUAAACGGUAAUCCCAUAUUGAUAUGAUUCUAUAACAAAGAACAUAUUGUCUGUUUUCCGAACAAAGAGCCAAAGUUAACUCUUUAUUUUUUACUUUUUGAGGUAUAAUGAGCAGAUUUAUGAUUAGUUAGUGCCAUUAUAUUAUCGAUUAAUCUUGCUUUAGUUAUGAUGCACAUGUCCACAACAAUGUAAUGCCAUAUAGAUUGGUGUUGAACGACACAAAUUUAUGUCCCCUGUGCAAAGCAUGGGCAAUUUUCGAGAGGUGAUUGUUAUGGCAGGAGGAGAUGAGUCUGGCGGAGGCAACCCUCCGGCGGCCCGUAGGUGGAGGCUUGGUGGGUGUUAGCGGACGGAUAGCUUUAUCUUCUCAGGAUAAACCAGAUGUUUUCCUAUGCCUUGAGGAGUUGCCGAUGGAUGAUAUGCAAAGGCUACCAAGUGGUAGCUGCAAUGUUGCAAUUGAGGUCAGCAAUGGGUGCUUCUCCUGGGACGGCUCACCUGAGAUAACAACACUGAAGGAUCUGGAUUUUUAAGCUCAGCAAGGCAUGCGUGUUGCAGUCUGUGGGAUGAUCGGAUCUGGAAAAUUAAGUUUGCUCUUUUGCAUUCUCGGUGAGGUGCCAAAGCUAUUAGGAGAGGCUAAAACUUGCGGAACAUUGGCAUAUAUGUCAGCCAAACGGUAUGGAUGCAGAGCAGCAAAAUUCAGGACAACAUACUGUUUGACAAGGAGAUGGAGAGUGAGAAGUAUGGCAGGGUCCUUGAGUGGUGUUCGCUGAAUAAAGACAUGGAGAUCAAAGUCAUUGGAGAGUGAGGCAGCAAUCUUAGUGGUAGGUAGAAGCAAUGGGUUCAGAUAGUCCGUGUAUUGUAUCAGGUGCUGACACCUAUUUCUUCGAUGAUCUGUUCAAUGCAGUUGAUGCUAAUACAUGAUCCCACCUUUUCAAGGAAUGCUUGCUUGGGGCUUAGGCUUAAAAACAAUGGUUUAUGUCACUCACCAGAUUGAAUUCCGGCCUGCAGCCGAUCUUAUUUUGGUAAUGAACGGCGGGAGAAUAGCACAAGCAGACAAAUACAACGAUAUACUUAGUUCAGGAGCGGACCUAGCAGAACUGGUUGGUCCUCACCAAGAGCCUCUCACAACAUUGGACGUGAUUGAUGUUGCCAAUGGAGGUGAUGAGACAUUCUCUUCGAGCCUAUCCAGGCCAUUGUCAUUGGUUGAAGAGAAAGAUAAACAAAAUGGCAAAUAAGACAGUGACAAGGUUCAAAGUGGGCAGAUGGUGCAGGAAGAAGGAAAAAAGAUAGGGUGUGGUUAUGGGUCUACUGGAAGUACCUCACAUUGGCUUACAGGGGAGCUCUUGUAGCACAGUUACUUUUCCAAGUACUUCAGGCGUUCAGAUUGCUAGCAAUUACUAGAUGGCCCGGGCUUCUCAUAUGUCGAAAGACGCCGAGGCUCCAGUGAGUGCAUACAAAAUAGCAACUCUGUUGUUCAACAAGAUGCACAUAGCCAUAUUCAGAGCUCCUAUUUGUUUUUCGACUCCAAUCCAGGUGGGAGCAUCUUGAAUAGAGACUGUGGAAGAAGCCGAGGGGCGAGCCAUUCUGAUUGGCCUCAAGUCGCUUUCAGCCGUGUACAGAGGGCCCAUAAUCAUAUCAUUGGAACUAACAGCGCUAUGAUUACCCAAGAAUUGGAGGUGGGAAGGCCUAAUAGGUCUGGUUGUUUCUCUUUCAUCAGCGACGUAAAAAAUGAGCUGCAGGUUUUCAGCCCCGUCCUCAUCUACUCCAUCCCUAGGGGAAAAAACAAACUGGCACAUGAGCUGGCUGCUCGAGCGAGACGAGAUCGUUCAUCUUUGCUGAUGUAUCGAGGCAACUCUGCACUCUGAUGCUAUCGGAAUGUACCACCUGAGUGUGUUUUGUCUGUUUAGGUAGUCAUCCUAAAAACAAGAACUAUGCUGACUCGGGACUUAAACUGGUUAGGCUUCAACCAAAGGGAAGUGGAUAGAAAGAUCGCUUACCAGAUGGGUUCUGUUGCGGUUUCCAUCAUACAAAUAGCAUCAACACCUAUAUUGGUAAUUGUUUAUUAUAUUAUUUUAUAUUAAAA